AACUGAAGAGGUCGAAGUUGAACAAAAUAUACUUUUAUUAAUAAGUAUUAUAAUAUAUUAAAUAUUGUCAGGUUUUUAUGGUGCUGUUUGGCAUUGUCCAAACCGCACCACACCGAAAAAUUACCAAUUAAGGUUGGAUUGGAAUGCAUAAUUAUCAAUUUAUCCUUAAUAAGUCAUAAAUCAACAAAAAUGGCCCAACAAUUUUCUUAAUCUUAAUUGUUGCCUUUGGAUUAGAAAUCAUCAACGAUCAAGAUUGGUUCUCACAAUUCUCUAAUCUCUACUUUUAUGUUGUUUUCAUUUGAACUCAACCCAAAAAUCUCACCAGUAAUCACCACACGAACAAAUCCCGUUCUUGAAAUGAUGAAACCUAUUUGUAUCCCGAAGAAUAAUUUCCCGCUCAACAAUCUUGGAAAUAAGCUUAGCAGCAAUAUGACAAUCCUCACAAACACGUAGAUUUUUAGUAAUCCGUAUAGGCGUAAAAGCUUUAGUAUUUAUAAUCACAAACACAAUAGCAAGCUUCUCACUAUGAACAGCAAGAUGAUUUCCUUUAUCUUCAUCUUCUAUAUCAUGAAGUGCAGAAUCCACUUCAGGAACAUACCCAAAAUCCCUCAUCUUCCCCACAAGUACUUCCAACUCUUGAUAAAUCUGUUUAGAUUGUGGAUGGGAUUGAUCUCCAGCAAGAAACGAAUGAACUUGAUUAUUAAGCUCAACAUUACUAACACCGGGCUCUUUUUUCACUCCUUUUGAUUUCAUUAUUGAACGAAUAUUUGUCACAUCUUUAAAUCUACCUGCUUUUGCGUAUAUAUUUGAUAAUAAAACAUAAUACCCUGCUUGUUCAGGGACCAAUUCAAAGAGAUGAUCUGCUGCUACAAGACCAAUUUCCAUGUUGGAAUGAACUUUACAAGCACUUAACAAAGCACCCCAGAUUCUAUCGUUUGGUUUUGUUUUCAUUUUCUUUAUAAAAUCAUAAGCUUCAUUGAUUCUUCCUGAUCUUCCUAGCAAAUCAACCAUGCACGCCAAGUGUUCGAGUCUUGGAAUGAUGUUAUACUCUUCGGUCAUCAAUUUGAAGAAAUGUUUUCCUUGGUUUAGUAAUCCGGCAUGGCUGCAGGCUGAUAGAACUGGAACGAAGGAAAUGGAAUCAGGGGCGAUUCCGGAAUUUUGCAUAUUUGAAAAGACUGUGAUAGCAGUUUCACCAUCUCCAGUCAUGCCAUAAGCAGAGACCAUGGAAGUCCAGGAGACGACAUCUCUUGUUGGCAUUUCAUCGAACACCUUGCGUGCUUCGUUUAAAGACCCACAUUUAGCAUACAUGUCAAUCAAGGCGUUCUCUACUGUUAGAUUAGGAAGAAGCCUUUUUGUUUUUACAUAUGAAUGAAUCUUUCUUCCUAGUAAUAAAGCUGAAAGAUCUCCACAAGCGGGUAGGAUGCUAGCAACUGUGAUUGAAUCCGGGUCGAUUCCGUAAUUCUCCAUUUGUUGAUAAAGAUUAACUGCAUCUUUAGGCAUCGAGUUGUUGACGUACACAGCUAUCAUGACAUUCCAAGAAAUUAAACUCUCUCGAGCGUGAUUCAUGAACAUUUCUUUCAUAAACAUCACGUUGGUAGAUGAAGUAGAAGUUGUUAAAGCAGGGGAAAGGCUGGCCAUGGUGCCUGCGUUGGGUUUUGAGGUAGAACAUUGCAUCAUUGUCUUACAAAUCUCCAAUGCAUCUUCAAACAUCCGGUUUUGGGCGUAGGCAGCAACCAUAGCAUUCCAGGAGACGAUAUCUCUACUAGGCAUUUCAUCAAACACCUGGCGUCCUUCCAGUAACCGGUUACAUUUUCCAUACAUUGUAAUCAAUCCAUUCCCUACAUAAAGAUUUGAAUGCAGACCCUUCUUGAGAACAGCAACAUGGGUUUGUAAUCCGACCCACAAAUUCUCAGACACGGAACAUGCUUUUAGAACUUGAGGAACUGUAAAAUGAUCAGGGUUAAUGUUGAACUUGAACAUGUUUCUGUACAUACGAAGUGCUUUUUCGUAGAAUUCAUUGUUUACGUAGCUUCUAAUCAUCACAUUGAAGAAGACUACAUCUUUUUGAGGAAAUUCAUCAAACAGUUGGCGGGUAACUGCGAUUUGGCGACAUUCAGAAUAAGCUUUCAUUAAUUUCAGAGCAAUAUGCGAUGCUGAGACGAGGUUUCCAUCAAUAAUUAACCUACAAUGUAUCUUUUUCAAUUGUUUGAUAUCUGGGCACUUGUCCAAGAUUUUGAUACACAAGUCUUCUGUGAUUAACAUGAUUGUUAAGGCGAGAUUUGAAUGAAUUUGAACUUAUAUUCCUUUCGCCAUGUUGUACCUGAGGGGCAAUCAAAUAGAAUGGACGAAGAUAACGAAGGUUUACUUGGUGGUGUUCACUUAAAAACAAGAAAUAUGAAGUUCUAAACGCUAUUUCUUGUUAAACAGAAAAUAUUUUGUCCAAUCUAAAAAUCCAAUUUUUGAGUAAGUUCAAGCUUAAGCUCAAAAAUAGUAAGCAAAACAUGUUUAAAAAAUAAAAGUUCGUUUGAAACUCUUUGGAUAGCUCGAGUAUAACAAUCAUCAUAAUUAUAGUCAAUAAAUCAGGCUCAAACAACCAAACUUGAUGUCCAGCCCUUGAUCAUCCAAUUGCCAACUGAAAUCAACUUAGUUUCCGGUUUUAGAAUCGCCCUAACAUUACAUAAGCACCAACUAGUUCCAAAAGUAGUUUUUAAUUCAAUGUCUCCCAUACCCGUGACUUCAAGGGUUUCCAUGUUACCCAACCUUACCAACUUAAGAUAAGUUCUUUACUUCAAUUACUAUAACAGAUCGAUGAGUCAUGUUCUAAUGACCUCUCGUCAUAUGAUGCAAUGCUUAGACUCGAGUCUUUUAAAGUCAAAUUCUAUAAUGAAAUAUACAUUCCUUCAAGUUUCUAAUGUGAUAUAAUCACAUUCUAGCAUGUAUCACUUCUAGCUACAAGCUUCUUACUUUAACAACAAUCACAAUACUUCUAUUGAUCGCUUUGAUUAUCUUUCAGUUCAAUCUUCUGGCUUAAGUCAGAUGCUACAUCGAUCUUGGUUCUCUGAACCACGUACAAUACUUAUCCUAGCUGUAAUCGAUUUGAUAUGACCACUAGGGUCGGAAUAACAAUCAUCUUCUUAGUCAUUACCGAAAUUAUGGUAAUGACACAUGAACAAAACAGAAUCAAUUACUAGCGUCUUGGUAACUCGUGACUUUCCCUGAUCCAAGUGCGAGUCGUGUGCUUCCAGUAGUAUAUGCCUCUACUACCUUUCACACCUACUCAUACUUGUCCCAAGUAUUGUCUUUCAGUUCUCCAAGUCACCAUAAAAGAAUUUCACAUAGUCAUUUAACACAUCGAAUAACAAAACUAAGGUUUAUAUUAUUUCUUGAAACGAUUACAUAGAUAUUCAAGUUCACCUUAUACCAUGCCUUUUAUAUUAGGCUACACCACAUGAUACUAUCUAUAUGGCUACUUUAUAUCUCGAUCUUCAGAUAUAUAUAGAUCCCUACUCCUAAUCCCUUGUAUCGUCACCUGCUUCAUCCAGGUUAGACUUCGAGAAUCUUCCUUUCUUAUCGAAUCUUGAGGAUCCCUCAAGCUUCUUCUUUUCUCAUGCCUUGUCUUAUUCCAGACCCUUUUUCCUAAAUUAGGUUUCCAUAUUCUUGGUUGCUCUAACGGUUGUCUUCAAAGUAGUUGCCAUUUUUACCAUUGCGCCAAAUUAUGCUGGCAAUCCGUUAGCAAAACUAUCUAUCUUGGAGAGUUCAGUAGCACCAAGUAGGGGAAUAACUUCAUCUGCUCGGUGAAUACGGUGACAUACUCAUCAACACUCAUCUUCCUUUUCUUCAAGUUCGAAACUCGUUGUUUAGGUCUAUCAGAUCUAUCUCUGAGCAGUAUUGCAUUUUCAACUGCUCCAUGAAUGCUUCCCACCUCAGGGCUUCUCCCCCAUGGCUUUGUAUCUGCCAAUAACUUCCACCAACUUAAAACUCUGGUCUUUAGUUGUCUGACUGUAAAGACGGUUUUCUGCUUGUUGCUGCAAUUGCAACUUUCAAAUGUCAUCUCUAUCUCGGAGAUCCAAUCCAUGAUCUCUACUGGCUUCGGGCUUCCAGAAAGACUUGGUGGUUUGGCACCUAAGAAGUUCUUAUACAUACGUUCAUCCUUAUCAAUCGCUUUUUUCGGGUCGUUCCUCCUUGCCACUCGGGGUUCAGCUUGACUCACUGUACGACUGUAAUUUCCCUCCUCCGACAAUUCUUCAUUCAGUUCGGGUUGCACGAUAGGCACAAUAGGUUCAUCCCUAUUAUCAAGAAACAUUUUUCUCAUCUCCUCCCUUUGUUCGGCCAUCAUAGCCCAAAUCAUUGCUUAGACUCUUGCCAUCGUGAUUGGCUCGGGUGCAGCUACUACCUCUGGUGCACAUUUAAUCACUCGUGGUUCAGGCUGUUAGUUUUCAUUAGCAUUUUCUAAUAUGUUGCGAGUUCUCACCAUUUCGAUCUAUACACUCUAGAGAUGUUCAGUGUACAGUGACGAGAAUUAAGAUAUGGAAAGCUUUAUUUACGACAGCCAUAUAAAUCUUCUUAUCACUCGUAAAAGUUAUAUACUAGUUCUAAUACCGUAAUUAAAUGUUUGGAAAUUUUGAGCAAAUGACGGUUCAUCAACAAUAGAGCGAAUCUCAUUUAGGAAUUCGUUGAUAGGUCGAUUUCCUUUAGGAUUUUUAGCAAGUUUGGAUUUUAAAGAGAUGAUUCUUGAGCAGGAGGUGCUGGCAUAGCUUGUGUUGAGAUGCUUUCAUGCUUCUUUUGUGGUAAAUACAGAGGUAAUGAUAGGUUGAAUGAAUUGCAUCUGAGCAUGAACCAAGAAUUGCAUCGAAUACUACAUGAUCUUGGCGAUAGCAAGUCGUGUAUUCAUGAUUAGGUUUGGAUUUGUCUUUGUCGAUAAUGAAUUUUGUGGUAGGAUCAGUCACCCAUGUGAUGUAAUCUUCCAGACCUAGUCCAAUAAAUGUGGACUGCACUUGUCGCCUCCAUACAUGGAAGUUGUUGGUGAGUAAUUUGGUAGGAAAGUGACUUGAGGCGGUGAUUUGUAUUUGGGAUGAUUGUGUCAUGGUGAUGUUGAUGAAAAGGAUUAGAGGAGAAAGGCAAGAUGAUCGAUUGACUCUUUAGAGUGUGUGUGCUCUGAUACGAUAUGAGAUUUGAGAAUCAAUGGGCUCGAAUGAAUAAUUUCAUUUACAAAGAUCGAUACAUAUAUAGAUGGUAACGAGAGUUAAAGAGCUAUACAUGGAAUUUACUAAGAAUAGAUUGCAAUUACAUACAAAUAGAAGAGAUUAUUGUAGAUUAGUCAUGAAGAUGUGUACGAUGUUAUAGUUAGAUUGCUUAUUUGCAAUCCAUGUUAGCUAAGUAUGUCAUGUUGAAUACAAAUUGUAUUAAAACAUUAAAGUUCCAACCAUUAUAUGUUGAAGAAGAAGCAAAUACGCCUUAGUCACACCCAUUCUAAAUGAUAUGGAUGUUAUGGUUGUCGUUUCUAUGCAACCAAAUCGUGAUUCCAAGUUGCAGUUGUCUUACCAAUAUAUCAUGUUAGGAAAAGAUGACAUAGCAUGAAAUAUUGUAUGUUACAACAAAAAGAUAUAUCUUAUAGAUGUCUUGCACAUGGGUUAUUCCUUUUUAAGCACUUAUAUAAAAAUAAUAUCACGUAUGUAUGAUAUCUAUUUUGAGAGAUUUUUAGCAAGCAACUCUUUGUCUAUUAUUGUUAUUGGAUAGAAAAAGUAUCAUCUUCGUUGGGAAGAUUUUACUAGGAUUAGAUUCAUAAUAGUUUGUCAAAGAUUUUACUAUUAUGUAUUUAUAAACCCAUGAAGUUUUCUAUUAAAUAAAUAAAUAAAUAACCAUUCACCAUUUAUAUCUUUUUGGAAUAGAGUUUGUUAAAUUCUAAUAUAAAUAAAAAGAGUAUUUAUUUAGAUUCACACAUUACAAAAUUACAAACUCCAAGCAUAAAUCCGAAACUUAUUUUUAAACUUCUUCAUUUAUAUUACAAGUUUUAUUCUUUUUUCCCAACCCACUUGGGGUUUCGAAACCCUAAAAAAGUUCUAUCCAUGGAAGUUCAUAUUUAUUUCUUAUCUUAAUGAAUUUAAGGUCUAAAUCAAUAAAUGGCAAUGUAGAAUUAACCGCAUAUAUUAAGUUAUUUUUGGAAGCUUUCCAACACAACACAGAAAGGAAAUGAUGAGAAUUUAUGGUACCAAAUAACAAAAUAAUCCCGGUUCCUAUAAAAAUUUAUUAAAGCUCUACUCAUGAUUUCAUAAUCUCCUCUAAUAUGAGGGUUACGUUAUUGUAAUAAUAACUAUGAUAAUGUAAAAGCCAUAACAUAAAUCGUCUUAAUUUAAGAAAUAAUAUAAAUCCCAAGAUAUUGUUUUUAAAAUAAAAAGGAAAAAAGUGGGAGUCCAUUAGAAGGAGCCAAGCUGAUUAUUUGAGCCAAGAGAGCACCGAUUUGUUAUCCUUCCACUGUUCGAAGCGAGAGGUUAUCGCAGCUCUGUGAAGCCAGCCUAACGCAUUGCCCUCUGCUCUAGGAACCAAGAAGCCCAAGCCUUCGCUCAAGCCACUUGAUCCAACUCCGAACUUGGAACGGGCAAACCAGAUUUUGCAACAGCUUUGACCCAACCAAACAAGGCUCGAUCUCAGUCCAUCCCACUUUAGAGCCCUCACUUGAGUCACAAGCUCGCGUUACCAAGCUCGGCGAUAAACGAAGUCCAUUUGAUGUAUAAAUAAUCGGAAAAACUUUCUCCUCCAAGCGAUGUGGGAUGCGAAACGAAAUAUUUUCAUCUUCAUUCUCUCUUUAUCUCUGUCAAAUACUGUGAUUACUGAUUACUGACUACUUAAACACCCAUGCAACGGAUUUCAAGUAUUUUUUUCAAUCCAUGGAUUUAGAACUGUAAACU
rnacentral:lncRNA from 1 species